CUCAGUUGGUAGAGCAUCGGACUGAAAAUCCGUGAGUCGGUGGUUCGAGUCCACUCAUCACCACCA
rnacentral:tRNA from 1 species